GGGUAAUCUUCCGCAAUGGGCGAAAGCCUGACGGAGCAAGACCGCGUGGGGGAAGAAGGCUCUUGGGUUGUAAACCCCUUUUCUCUGGGAAGAAAGUUGUGAAAGCAGCCUGACGGUACCAGAGGAAUCAGCAUCGGCUAACUCCGUGCCAGCAGCCGCGGUAAGACGGAGGAUGCAAGCGUUAUCCGGAAUGAUUGGGCGUAAAGCGUCCGCAGGUGGCAGUUCAAGUCUGCUGUCAAAGACCGGGGCUCAACCUCGGAAAGGCAGUGGAAACUGAACAGCUAGAGUAUGGUAGGGGCAAAGGGAAUUCCUGGUGUAGCGGUGAAAUGCGUAGAGAUCAGGAAGAACAUCGGUGGCGAAGGCGCUUUGCUGGACCAUAACUGACACUCAGGGACGAAAGCUAGGGGAGCGAAUGGGAUUAGAUACCCCAGUAGUCCUAACCGUAAACGAUGGAUACUAGGUGUUGUCUGUAUCGACCCGGACAGUGCCGUAGCUAACGC
rnacentral:rRNA from 1 species